UUUUUCCCCCCUCAACCAAAAAUCCCCAAAUCUCAAUUCCCUAUUCUUUUGAACCAAAAAUCCCCAUCUCUCUCUCUCUCUCUCUCUCUCACUCUCACGACUGUGAGCAGGGCAAACGAUGGCUUUGAGCGACAACGAGCAGCGAGUAGCAUGAGACCUAUAUUCAUCAUUAAUCUGGUUCGUUAGUUAUAUCUGCUUCUUGUACAUGUACAGGCGAGGUCGUUAGAAUCCGACUUUUUUGUGAGUUCGAUUCAUCGUCUCUCUCUCUCUCUCUUGGACUGGGUUGUGGUGGGUGUUGGACUGUGAGUUUGCUACAUGGGUUAUGGUGGGUGUCCUCAUUCUUGGACUGGUUUUUCCAAACAAGCUUUUGUUGGGCUUUGGGAUUUCUUCAAACUGUCUGUGGCUUCUGGGGUCAAGCUCUCGUUGGAGAAUUUUUAUUAUAGAGUGUUGAUUAUAAUCUCAGGGAAUAUGAAUAAUGCUGAAGUUGCUCUUGAUGCCCUAUCCAUCUGGUUGGAUCUGUUGUGCUUUGGUUUGUUUAUUUAUCUUCAUUGCAAAUUGAACUGUUUUUCUUAUUCUGAACAUUUUAAUUUGUUCUUUUUUUUACAGCAUUACGAUCUAUAUUUUCUUCUUUUUUUUCUUGUUCUAAACAUUUUUCUUCUUCUUCUUUUGUUUUUGUUUUUUUUUUUGUUGCCAUUUUGCAAUUUAUAUUUUCUUGGAUUGUAACUACUUUUUUCAAUUAGUUACUUCAGCAAGAAGAUGUUCCUUAAUUACUAAUAUUGUUGACUUGAGUUAUCCUUAAUUUUUUAAAAAAUAAAAUAAUAAAAUGAUUCAAUGAAUUUUGCAAGUCAUGAUAAGAUUAAAAAAAUGUUUUGCUUCCCUGAUGUAUCUAAGCAUCAUAGGUAAAUAAAGAUUUUCAACUUUCUAAUGCUCUUGAUGGUCUAUUUCUAAUUUAUGAUUGGACUUUCUAUCCUAACUCAUAGGGUUUAUGUGGGAAAUCUUUCGGGGGCUGUUGAUGAUUAAGCCCUUGAAACCUUAUUUAGUGAGCAAGGUAAGGUUAUGGAAGCCAAGUUUGUUUAUGACAAAGACAGUGGUAGAUCAAGGGGUUUGGGGUUUGUGACCUUUGGUUCCUCAGAUGAGGUCAACAAUGCAAUUGAAUCAUUGGAUGGUGUUGACCUAAAUGGCAGGUCAAUCCGAGUAAGCAUGGCUGAAGCUAGGCCAAGGUGUCAAUUUUGAUCAUUGAACCUUUUGAGCUUUCUUCAACUAAGAACACACUCGGGGUACAUAUUUAAUGAAUUUGCAUUUAAAUUGUUUGUAAUCCUCCUACAUCUUGAAAAUUGUACUUUAGGCAAUUGUCUUGGUGUUUUUUGGCUUUAAAGAGAUCCAAAACAUGUAAACAUGUUGCAAGAGGUUUCCCAUAUAGAUUAUCAUUUCAAAUAAAAUACUUUAUUUUCCUUUA